UUAAUUCGACGCAACGCGAAGUAACCUUACCAGGGCUUGACAUCCCCUGACCGCGUAUGAAAGUACGUUUUCACCCUCGGGUGACAGGGAGACAGGGUGGUGCAUGGUUGUCGUCAGCUCGUGUCGUGAGAUGUUGGGUUAAGUCCCGCAACGAGCGCAACCCCUACGUUUAGUUGCUAACAGGUGAAGCUGAGCACUCUAGACGAACUGCCGUUGACAAAACGGAGGAAGGUGGGAUGACGUCAAAUCAUCAUGCCCCUUAUGUUCUGGGCUACACACGUGCUACAAUGGCCGGUACAGACGGAGGCGAAGCCGCGAGGCGGAGCAAAUCCGAAAAAGCCGGUCUCAGUUCGGAUUGCAGGCUGCAAUUCGCCUGCAUGAAGUCGGAAUCGCUAGUAAUCGCAGGUCAGCAUACUGCGGUGAAUACGUUCCCGGGCCUU
rnacentral:rRNA from 1 species